AAUAACUGCAGUUUUAUACUGUUAAUGUUUAACGUUUGACCGUUCGUCUUAUUUAAAAUUUUUUUAUGAUUAGUAUUUUUAUUCUUAUUAGAUGAUAAAACAUGAAUAGUACUUAAUGUGUGACUAAUUCUUUUUAAUUUUUUUUCUAAUUUUUCAAAUAAGACGGAGAGUCAAACGUUAGACACGUAUACCCACUACUACACUUAUU
rfam:Oryza meridionalis cultivar OR44 (W2112) chromosome 11, whole genome shotgun sequence.